rnacentral:rRNA from 1 species
UGAGGGAAAGGUGAAAAGCACCCCGGGAGGGGAGUGAAAGAGUUCCUGAAACCGUGCGCCUACGAUCCGUCGGAGCCUCUUUGUGGGGUGACGGCGUGCCUAUCGAAAAAUGAGUCUGCGAGUCAGUGGCGGGUGGCGAGCGUAAGCCGUGUGGUGUACGCGUAGCGAAGGCGAGUCUCAAAAGGCGUUGAGUCGCCCGUCCUGGACCCGAAGCGGGAUGAUCUAGCCCUGGGC